AUUGAACGCUGGCGGCAGGCUUAACACAUGCAAGUCGAGCGGGGGAAGGUAGCUUGCUACUGAUCUUAGCGGCGGACGGGUGAGUAAUGCUUAGGAAUCUGCCUAUUAGUGGGGGACAACAUUUCGAAAGGAAUGCUAAUACCGCAUACGUCCUACGGGAGAAAGCAGGGGAUCUUCGGACCUCGCGCUAAUAGAUGAGCCUAAGUCGGAUUAGCUAGUUGGUGGGGUAAAGGCCUACCAAGGCGACGAUCUGUAGCGGGUCUGAGAGGAUGAUCCGCCACACUGGGACUGAGACACGGCCCAGACUCCUACGGGAGGCAGCAGUGGGGAAUAUUGGACAAUGGGCGCAAGCCUGAUCCAGCCAUGCCGCGUGUGUGAAGAAGGCCUUAUGGUUGUAAAGCACUUUAAGCGAGGAGGAGGCUACUUUAGAUAAUACCUAGAGAUAGUGGACGUUACUCGCAGAAUAAGCACCGGCUAACUCUGUGCCAGCCGCCGCCGUAA
rnacentral:rRNA from 1 species